UACGUAGGGCGCAAGCGUUUGUCCGGAAUUAUUGGGCGUAAAGAGCUCGUAGGUGGCUUGUCACGUCGGGUGUGAAAGCUUGGGGCUUAACUCCAGGUCUGCAUUCGAUACGGGCUGGCUAGAGGUAGGUAGGGGAGAACGGAAUUCCCGGUGUAGCGGUGAAAUGCGCAGAUAUCGGGAGGAACACCGGUGGCGAAGGCGGUUCUCUGGGCCUGUGCUGACGCUGAGGAGCGAAAGCGUGGGGAGCGAA
rnacentral:rRNA from 1 species